rnacentral:lncRNA from 15 species
CUGUGAUCUUAUUGCCUAAUGAAAACACACAAAUUCAGAGUUUAACGAGCAGCAUCUCGACUUUAUACUUGUGUGAGAGCGCCGGGGAGCCCGAGAGGUCGACCUGCAUCCAUCACACCAUCUUCCAACCCGGGUUGUGAAUGAUUGCCGCCGAUUGUGCCAAAAAUCACAAGGAAGAACGGUGAAGGAUGGAGGAGCCUUCGGUUCACACCCGCUGAGGUGACGGCGAUGAGACAAAAUCCUCACAAAAACGUUCCAGCUCUAUCUCGCCGCUACAUCACCGGAGGCUUAACGGCGCUCCAGGAGAACACGGAGGACCUGAAAACUAACAUUACGAGUGGAUCAGGGAUAUGCAGCAGGUUGUCUUCCAUGGAGUCCACCAAACAUUGGCUCUGGAUGUUCCCCAGGUCUUCAAAUACAGACGCGAGCAGUGUUCAGUUAGUUGUACGUCUGUAACUUAAGCGUUAGAUGUCAUUUAGAAUCCUACGCACUGGUCCUUUAAGGUUAUUGUACUAGACCAGUGGUUCCCAAUCUUUGUCCUUAAGGGACCCCUUUUCUAUCAUUUGUUAAACUGACUAAGCAGUUUAUGGAUAUUUCAUAUUAUAUUAGCUGAUUAUUUCCUACAUAUAGAACUUUUUAUACUGUCUGUAAUAUGUAUUAUUAUUAUUUUUUUAAGACUUAAUCUGCUUCUUUUUUUUAUGUGUUUUGUGUUUUAUUGUCCCGACACUUGUUCUAUUAGACAAAUUACUUUACCUUUCUUCACAGAAAUAAAC